rnacentral:rRNA from 1 species
GAUGAACGCUGGCGGCGUGCCUAAUACAUGCAAGUCGAGCGAACGGACGAGAAGCUUGCUUCUCUGAUGUUAGCGGCGGACGGGUGAGUAACACGUGGAUAACCUACCUAUAAGACUGGGAUAACUUCGGGAAACCGGAGCUAAUACCGGAUAAUAUUUUGAACCGCAUGGUUCAAAAGUGAAAGACGGUCUUGCUGUCACUUAUAGAUGGAUCCGCGCUGCAUUAGCUAGUUGGUAAGGUAACGGCUUACCAAGGCAACGAUGCAUAGCCGACCUGAGAGGGUGAUCGGCCACACUGGAACUGAGACACGGUCCAGACUCCUACGGGAGGCAGCAGUAGGGAAUCUUCCGCAAUGGGCGAAAGCCUGACGGAGCAACGCCGCGUGAGUGAUGAAGGUCUUCGGAUCGUAAAACUCUGUUAUUAGGGAAGAACAUAUGUGUAAGUAACUGUGCACAUCUUGACGGUACCUAAUCAGAAAGCCACGGCUAACUACGUGCCAGCAGCCGCGGUAAUACGUAGGUGGCAAGCGUUAUCCGGAAUUAUUGGGCGUAAAGCGCGCGUAGGCGGUUUUUUAUGUCUGAUGUGAAAGCCCACGGCUCAACCGUGGAGGGUCAUUGGAAACUGGAAAACUUGAGUGCAGAAGAGGAAAGUGGAAUUCCAUGUGUAGCGGUGAAAUGCGCAGAGAUAUGGAGGAACACCAGUGGCGAAGGCGACUUUCUGGUCUGUAACUGACGCUGAUGUGCGAAAGCGUGGGGAUCAAACAGGAUUAGAUACCCUGGUAGUCCACGCCGUAAACGAUGAGUGCUAAGUGUUAGGGGGUUUCCGCCCCUUAGUGCUGCAGCUAACGCAUUAAGCACUCCGCCUGGGGAGUACGACCGCAAGGUUGAAACUCAAAGGAAUUGACGGGGACCCGCACAAGCGGUGGAGCAUGUGGUUUAAUUCGAAGCAACGCGAAGAACCUUACCAAAUCUUGACAUCCUUUGACAACUCUAGAGAUAGAGCUUUCCCCUUCGGGGGACAAAGUGACAGGUGGUGCAUGGUUGUCGUCAGCUCGUGUCGUGAGAUGUUGGGUUAAGUCCCGCAACGAGCGCAACCCUUAAGCUUAGUUGCCAUCAUUAAGUUGGGCACUCUAAGUUGACUGCCGGUGACAAACCGGAGGAAGGUGGGGAUGACGUCAAAUCAUCAUGCCCCUUAUGAUUUGGGCUACACACGUGCUACAAUGGACAAUACAAAGGGCAGCGAAACCGCGAGGUCAAGCAAAUCCCAUAAAGUUGUUCUCAGUUCGGAUUGUAGUCUGCAACUCGACUACAUGAAGCUGGAAUCGCUAGUAAUCGUAGAUCAGCAUGCUACGGUGAAUACGUUCCCGGGUCU